AAUGAACGCUGGCGGCGCGCCUAAUACAUGCAAGUCGAGCGAGAAGACGUAGCAAUACGUUUGUAAAGCGGCGAACGGGUGAGGAAUACAUGGGUAACCUACCCUCGAGUGGGGAAUAACUAGCCGAAAGGUUAGCUAAUACCGCGUACGCUUCUUGGACUUCGGUUCAGGGAGGAAAGCGAUGCCGAGGGUAUCGCGCUCUUGGAUGGGCUCAUGUCCUAUCAGCUUGNGGUGAGGUAACGGCUCACCAAGGCUUCGACGGGUAGCUGGUCUGAGAGGACGAUCAGCCACACUGGCACUGCGACACGGGCCAGACUCCUACGGGAGGCAGCAGUAAGGAAUAUUGCGCAAUGGGCGAAAGCCUGACGCAGCGACGCCGCGUGGGGGAUGAAGGUCUUCGGAUUGUAAACCCCUUUCGGGA
rnacentral:rRNA from 1 species